AAUUUUUUAAGAAGAAGAAGGAGGAGGAGGAGGAGGAGGUUGCAGUGGGCUUGCCUUCAUGUCUGUGCCCAGGCCCUGUCCCCACCUCCACACGCAGACGUCCAGGGUGACAAAGGUGCGUGGAACAAAACGGGGGGCUGGGAGGCGAACCUAGGUCUGGAAAAAGUUCUCUCCAUUAACUGCGCAUUAAACUCCGCGAGCAUCCUCGCUGCCCCUGCCUCAGUUUGCCCGGCAGCUAAACAAGGAACUCGGCGACACCCUGGACGGAAAGACCCGUCCUCGGGCUCCAGAGAGCUUCUCGGCCUCGGGGUCCCCGCUGCCCGCGUGGGUCGGACACAAAGUCUUGCCUCCCCACGCCGCGCCUGCGGGCCGCGACCGCUACCCCCGAGGCCCCGCCACGGCCUGGGCGGGGAGGGGGUCACUCGGGGCGGGGAAGGGGGUCACGCGGGGCAGGCGGGGCCUCGGUGGGGAGGGGGUCACUCGGGGCAGGCGGGGUCCCUCGGGGCAGGCGGGGCCUCGGUGGGGAGGGGGUCACUCGGGGCAGGCGGGGCCUCGGUGGGGAGGAGGUCACUCGGAGCAGGCGGGGAAGGGGGUCACUCGGGGCAGGCGGGGAGGGGGUCACUCGGGGCAGGCGGGGCCUCGGCGGGGAGGGGGUCACUCGGGGCAGCCGCGGCCUCUGCGGGAGGCGGCUCCGGCCCGAGCCCCGGCGCCGCGGGAUCCCCGCCCUCGGCCCGGAGCCGCGCCCGCCGCGCCGUCCUCCCCGCGCCGCCCGCCCGCCCGCCCUCCCCCGGCGACGCGCCCACCCCGGGGACCAUCGCUCUCCCAGGCGACUGCCCGGCGGCCUCUGGGGAGCGCGGCGGGGGACACCCGCUGCCGUUCGCUCCCGGGGCAGCGCGCUCGGCUCGGAAGCCCCGGCGGUCUCAGGUGCCGCCGCCCCGCCCCGCCCCGCGCAGCCCGCCCCGCGCAGCCCCGCGCAGCCCCGCGCCCGCCGCCGGACAGGUGGGCGCCCCGCGUGGCGGUCCCCGCGGCUCGGGAGUCCCUCGCGAGCGCCCGGCCCGGGCGGAAGCCCCGGGGCCACCUCUCGGCGGAGACGACGGGCCACGGGGAUAG
rnacentral:lncRNA from 1 species